GAUGAAGAACGCAGCGAAAUGCGAUACUUGGUGUGAAUUGCAGAAUCCCGUGAACCAUCGAGUCUUUGAACGCAAGUUGCGCCUCAAGCCAUUAGGUUGAGGGCACGUCUGCCUGGGCGUCACAUAUCGUUGCCUGAUGCCAGUUUCCUCGUGAUGGGUGACUGUGCAGGGCGAAUGAUGGCUUCCCGUGAGCAUUGUUGCCUCAUGGUUGGUUGAAAAUUGAGUCCUUGGUAGGGAGCGCCGUGAUAGAUGGUGGUUGAGUGACGAACGAGACCCAAUCAUGUGAGACCCCUACCGAAUUUGGCCUUCAUGACCCACAUGCGUCUUUGGAACGCUCAUGACGAGACCUCAGGUCAGGCGGGGCUACCCGCUGAGCUUAAGCAUAUCAAUAAGCGGAGGA
rnacentral:misc_RNA from 1 species